rnacentral:rRNA from 1 species
GCUUAACACAUGCAAGUCGAACGAGAAAGGGAUUGCUUGCAAUCCUGAGUAGAGUGGCGCACGGGUGAGUAACACGUGGAUAACCUACCUUUCGAAUCCGGGAUAACUACUUGAAAGGGUAGCUAAUACCAGAUGAAGUCAAUGUAUCUUCGGACAUAUUGAUGAAAGACGGCCUCUUCCUGAAAGCUGUUGUUUGAAGAUGGGUCCGCGCACCAUUAGCUGGUUGGUGGGGUAACGGCCUACCAAGGCUUUGAUGGUUAGCUGGUCUGAGAGGAUGAUCAGCCACACUGGAACUGACACACGGUCCAGACUCCUACGGGAGGCAGCAGUGAGGAAUUUUGCGCAAUGGGGGCAACCCUGACGCAGCAACGCCGCGUGAGUGAAGAAGGCCUUUGGGUCGUAAAGCUCUGUCAACAGGGAAGAAAUUAUCAUGUAUUAAUAGUGCGUGGUAUUGACGGUACCUGUGGAGGAAGCGUCGGCUAACUCCGUGCCAGCAGCCGCGGUAAUACGGGGGGUGCUAGCGUUAAUCGGAUUUAUUGGGCGUAAAGCGCGCGUAGGCGGUUUCGUAAGUCAGAUGUGAAAGCCCGGGGCUCAACCCCGGAAGUACAUUUGAUACUACGGAACUUGAGUAUGGGAGAGGGAAGUGGAAUUCCUGGUGUAGCGGUGAAAUGCGUAGAUAUCAGGAGGAACACCGGUGGCGAAGGCGACUUCCUGGACCAGUACUGACGCUGAGGCGCGAAGGCGUGGGGAGCAAACAGGAUUAGA